UACGAAGGUCCCGAGCGUUGUUCGGAAUCACUGGGCGUAAAGGGAGCGUAGGCGGCGCGGUAAGUCAGAUGUGAAAUCCCGGGCUCAACCCGGAACUGCAUCCGAUACUGCCGUGCUAGAGGAUUGGAGAGGUAGCUGGAAUUCUUGGUGUAGCAGUGAAAUGCGUGGAGAUCAAGAGGAACACUCGUGGCGAAAGCGAGCUACUGGACAAUAUCUGACGCUGAGGCUCGAAGGCCAGGGUAGCGAAAGGG
rnacentral:rRNA from 1 species